GCCUACGGGGGGCAGCAGUGAGGAAUAUUGGUCAAUGGGCGGAAGCCUGAACCAGCCAAGUCGCGUGAGGGAAGAAGGCUCUGCGGGUCGCAGACCUCUUUGGACGGGGAGCAAGGCCGCCGACGUGUCGGCGGAAGGAGAGUACCCGUAGAACAAGCAUCGGCUAACUCCGUGCCAGCAGCCGCGGUAAUACGGAGGGGGCGAGCGUUGUUCGGAGUGACUGGGCGUAAAGAGCACGUAGGCGGUGUUGUAAGUCAUUAGUCAAAGACUAGAGCUCAACUUUAGUAAGGCUAGUGAUACUAUAA
rnacentral:rRNA from 1 species